rnacentral:rRNA from 1 species
UACGUAGGCAGCAAGCGUUGUUCGGAGUUACUGGGCGUAAAGGGUGCGUAGGCGGCUUUUUAAGUUUGGUGUGAAAUCUCCCGGCUCAACUGGGAGGGUGCGCCGAAUACUGAGAGGCUAGAGUGCGGGAGAGGAAAGUGGAAUUCCUGGUGUGCGGUGAAAUGCGUAGAUAUCAGGAGGAACACCGGUGGUGUAAACGGCUUCUGGACCGUAACUGACGCUGAGGCACGAAAGCGUGGGUAGCAAACAGG